UACGAAGGGGGCUAGCGUUGCUCGGAAUCACUGGGCGUAAAGGGUGCGUAGGCGGGUCUUUAAGUCAGGGGUGAAAUCCUGGAGCUCAACUCCAGAACUGCCUUUGAUACUGAGGGUCUUGAGUUCGGAGAGGUGAGUGGAACUGCGAGUGUAGAGGUGAAAUUCGUAGAUAUUCGCAAGAACACCAGUGGCGAAGGCGGCUCACUGGCCCGAUACUGACGCUGAGGUGCGAAAGCGUGGGGAGCAAACAGGG
rnacentral:rRNA from 1 species